rnacentral:tRNA from 1 species
GGGGAUAUAGCUCAGUGGUAGAGCGUCCGCUUUGCAUGUGAAAGGUCCCGGGUUCGAUCCCCGGUAUCUCCA